rnacentral:rRNA from 1 species
AUCUUGAAACCCAAAGAAUUUGGCGGUGUUUUAGUCUUUUCAGAGGAAUCUGUCCCAUAAUCGAUAAUUCACGAUUGAGUGUACUUAAUUUUAAGGAUUUGUAUACCGCCGUCAUCRGAAUAUUUUUUUAGAAAAUAAUUUUCUUAAUAUUAAAUUGCGUAAAAUGUCAGGUCAAGGUGCAGUUGAUAAUUAAGAGGAGAUGGAUUACAAUAAUAUAAAUUAUAUGGAUAUUAAUUUUGAUGAUUAAUUGAAGGUGGAUUUGAUAGUAAUUGAAUUAAAAUAAUUUAGUGAUUUUAGCUCUAAAACAUGCACACAUCGCCCGUCGCUCUCAUUAUUAAAUGAGAUAAGUCGUAACAAAGUAGAUGUACUGGAAAGUGUAUCUGGAAUGU